rnacentral:rRNA from 1 species
GGGCCCGCGGCGCAUUAGCUAGUUGGUAAGGUAACGGCUUACCAAGGCAACGAUGCGUAGCCGACCUGAGAGGGUGAUCGGCCACACUGGGACUGAGACACGGCCCAGACUCCUACGGGAGGCAGCAGUAGGGAAUCUUCCACAAUGGACGAAAGUCUGAUGGAGCAACGCCGCGUGAGUGAAGAAGGUUUUCGGAUCGUAAAACUCUGUUGUAAGGGAAGAACAAGUACAGUAGUAACUGGCUGUACCUUGACGGUACCUUAUUAGAAAGCCACGGCUAACUACGUGCCAGCAGCCGCGGUAAUACGUAGGUGGCAAGCGUUGUCCGGAAUUAUUGGGCGUAAAGCGCGCGCAGGCGGUCCUUUAAGUCUGAUGUGAAAGCCCACGGCUCAACCGUGGAAGGUCAUUGGAAACUGGGGGACUUGAGUGCAGAAGAGGUUAGUGGAAUUCCAAGUGUAGCGGUGAAAUGCGUAGAGAUUUGGAGGAACACCAGUGGCGAAGGCGACUAACUGGUCUGUAACUGACGCUGAGGCGCGAAAGCGUGGGGAGCAAACAGGAUUAGAUACCC